UACGUAGGUGGCAAGCGUUGUCCGGAUUUAUUGGGUUUAAAGGGUGCGUAGGCGGCCCUGUAAGUCAGUGCUGAAAUAUCCCGGCUUAACCGGGAGGGUGGCAUUGAUACUGCGGGGCUAGAGUACAGAUGAGGUAGGCGGAAUUGACGGUGUAGCGGUGAAAUGCUUAGAUAUCGAGAGGAACACCUGCGGCGAAGGCGGGUUGCUGGGCUGACACUGACGCUGAUGCGCGAAAGCUAGGGGAGCGAACGGG
rnacentral:rRNA from 1 species